UACGGGGGGGGCAAGCGUUGUUCGGAAUUACUGGGCGUAAAGGGCUCGUAGGCGGCCAACUAAGUCAGACGUGAAAUCCCUCGGCUUAACCGGGGAACUGCGUCUGAUACUGGAUGGCUUGAGUUUGGGAGAGGGAUGCGGAAUUCCAGGUGUAGCGGUGAAAUGCGUAGAUAUCUGGAGGAACACCGGUGGCGAAGGCGGCAUCCUGGACUACUACUGACGCUGAGGAGCGAAAGCCAGGGGAGCAAACGGG
rnacentral:rRNA from 1 species